AUAGACUAUCACAUUCAACCGAAUGGAGAUAUAGACCUCCUCAGGCUGGUUAGAGGCAGAUUGAGAUCACAGUCAUGUUAAACGCCGUAGAUGUUGGCUCAAUUGGAAAUUACCUUUAAUUAACAAACUCGCUACAACUUGCAAUCGGAUUGCAUCCCGGCCAAAGAAUCAAAAGAUGAUUAUAAUAACACAUGGACUUCCUGACUUGAUGGAAAGGAGACAUCUAUAAAGAAUAAACAGGUGAUUAUAAUAACACAUGGACUUCCUGACUUGAUGGAAAGGAGACAUCUAUAAAGAAUAAACAGGUGAUUAUAAUAACACAUGGACUUCCUGACUUGAUGGAAAGGAGACAUCUAUAAAGAAUAAACAGGUGAUUAUAAUAACACAUGGACUUCCUGACUUGAUGGAAAGGAGACAUCUAUAAAGAAUAAACAGGUGAUUACAUGGACUAAUAAUACAUGAUAACAUUUCAAAAUAAAGAAUCUAUGAGUAAACAAAAUAAG
rnacentral:lncRNA from 1 species